AGUUACACAAACAUUAGAGCUAUAGAUACUAUGUACCAAUGUGUACUUACACUGUGGUUACAUACUACAUACACAUCUAAUUACUAAGUACACAGGUAUUAGGGACACAAUAUAAAGUGGAACCCCCAUUUCUAAUAAGUUGAAAAAAAAAACAAUAUUUAGUUUGUAUAUUGGAGGUGCCAUACUAUAUUCACACCUUAUAUAAAAAAGUUUUACUGCAUUUCUAGCAUUUUGCAAAGAUGUUUUUCUGUUUUUCUGAAAUGUAUUCUGUUUCAGAGGCCUAGAAAGACCCCAUUUCUAAUAAGUAGAAGAAUACAAUGAUCAGUUAGUACAUGGGACAUCCCACAAGCACACCUUAUAUAAAACUAUUUUACUGAAGUAUUUGGUGUAUAAAGAUAUUUUACGAUAGCAAUUUGGGGUUAAAAAUCAAGAAAAUCCUCAGAAACUCCAGUUUUGAGAACUAUUUCAAAUAAGUUUAAAAAAAGGCCAUUCCUUUUAAAGUUCCUCCUACAUUUUAAGCACACCUAAUGUGAAGUCUGUGUACUGUGGCAGUUUGUAGAAGCAUGCAUUCAUAUAGAACAAAACACUCAAAUACAUUUUAAUAUUUCCUAAUUUUUUGCAACCUAUAGAAAUGUUUUUUUCAAAUACUUAAAAGAAAUAAUGGCCUUUUCUUACAAAGUAGCUCAUAUUCUAUCAGCACAGAUAAUCUGAAGUCUGUGUACUUUGGCAGUUUGUUGCAUACAUCCAAAUUUAAAAAUAUUAUAUAUAUAUAUAUAUCAGACUUCAGACUAUCUGUGCUGAUAGAAUAUGAGCUACUUUAUAUAUAUAUUAUAGACUGGAUAUUUUUUCCCCAGUUUUGAGGUUUAUAUAAACAUCAGGUUAAAUACAUACAGUAGAUAAAAAUAAUGGCCUUUGCAUGCAAGGCACUCCCUAUUCUUUCAGCAAAUAUGAAGUCACACACACUUGUCUGUCACACUAUACUUCACACACUUUCUAAACACCAAAUAUGGAGUCUUUGCUCUGUGAAAGUUUAGAGUAGCUUGCAUUCAAUGGAUGAAUGGAUCAUAGCGUAUCCCCAGUCUUGUUUCUGGAAAUCUCACUUAAAGUUCAGUUCCAACCCUAAUCUAAUUAAGAGUCAGGAACAAUUCAUAGUUACAGAAAGGUUUGCUGGAGCAGGAUUGACACUGAACUCUGCACGAAGAAAUAGGGUUGUGAUGAGUGGGGCGGGGCCGCGAGCCAUGAGAACGGAAUGAGGCCAGUGGAGUGACUGGAAAUGAGCGACGCCUGCUCCACUCACCGGUCUCGCGUCCCGCGGUGGAGAUGGAAGGAUACAAAAGAGGGGGCGACGACAGUGAACAACGAGAGAGGGCCAGGCCAGGCCAUGAUUUUAGUUUGUGUUUGGUUUUUGUUUGUAAGCGACAGUCGUCCGUGAAGGGCUGUCGCAGUGUUUUGUGUUUAUUUUGUUAUUAAAAGCCUUAUUUGAUUGAUG